CCACGGUACCACUGGCUGACCUUUCACAGUAACUAUAAUCUUCCUAUAUCAGAUUUACAUUCUGCUGCAAAACCAUGAAAUAUAAACACAAAUUUGACCAAUUAACUGAUAAGAAAACCACAAACUGUGUCAUCUUGAUUGGAAAUGUGUCUCUUACGGAUUCACUCAGAAUGGUUUAACCAUGAACACACCACAUUUCCCAAGGAAGACAGAACCUGGAACUGUAAAGAAUGAAGUGAAAAAUCUACACUCCCAUGAAACACACAAUUGUUUUCUUUUCUCAUCCAUGUCCAUAUGGUACAACAAGUUUGGAUCCAAAACAUUUUCUCAUGAGUGAAGAGAUCGGGAGAAAGGCAAGAAAAUAGUCAAUGGCCUGCAACACUGCAAGCAAAAUUGUCAGCUCACCUAAAUCAACAUAUCACAUGCUCCUCCACAGAGCACUGCACUCAAGACCAGGCAGGGGUAUGGGGACUGCCAUUGCCUGUGACUAUAUUAUAUAUGUCCAAUGGGGAAGUUCAGCCACAAGAAGGACACUUGGCUGUUGGAUUUUACAUGCUGCCCUUCUUCAUCUACUCCUAAAUAAAUGAAAAGCCACAAAAGAAAAUUUACUUAUGAGCUAAAUCUCACUCACACUAAAGCAUCAGAAGCAGAAAAUGAGCAAAAUAGCAAUGCAUCUGUACAUUUAUUUUUACAGACCUUGUGUAAGCAGUAUAUGAAACAUUGCAAAGAUACAAAGUUCCUUUACAGGAUAUCUAAACUUCAUCAGAGCAGAAAUAUCUCAGUAGGUAAAAUGUAUUAAUCAAGAAUCAUUAGUUAACGCAAGGAAAUUGCCCCCCUCUCCCCAAACCCGAUAAAGCAAUGGCAAUAGUAUCAAACUAAGUAUCCCAGAAGGUUAUUUUUGGAGGUACAUUACAGAUAAGCAGUAGAAAAGUUUGCAAUCAUCUCUAAUCAGAAAACUACUUAAAUAUUUGAAAUACCGUUUAAAAACAAAUAAAACAGAACCAGUUAAUUUUUUCCAAAGGCCCACAGCAAUUUCAGGGUAGCUGCUGUCAAAAAGAGUCAGACAGGCUGUCAAAAAGUAAAUGCACCUUCUGGCUGUGAAGAAUUCUGUCCCUAAAGAAGCAGCGUUUCCAAAAUUAUUUAAAUCUAAGACAGAAGAUCUUUUUUAUUAUGCUGUGAUUUUUAAUUAAUUUAUUUUUUUAAUCUUUCAUUAGAACAGCAAUGUAUCAUCACAACAUAACUGUGGAAGUCCUUAGUGGUAAUAACUCAUGUUACUGAACCUCCAAAGCAAAAAAAAGCUCAAGGUAUCAAGGCAAGUUUUAUGGGCUGAAUUUCUCAAGG
ensembl:lncRNA